UAGGGAAUCUUCGGCAAUGGACGAAAGUCUGACCGAGCAACGCCGCGUGAGUGAAGAAGGUUUUCGGAUCGUAAAACUCUGUUGUUAGAGAAGAACGUUGCAUAGAGUGGAAAAUUAUGCAAGUGACGGUAUCUAACCAGAAAGGGACGGCUAACUACGUGCCAGCAGCCGCGGUAAUACGUAGGUCCCGAGCGUUGUCCGGAUUUAUUGGGCGUAAAGCGAGCGCAGGUGGUUUAAUAAGUCUGAUGUAAAAGGCAGUGGCUCAACCAUUGUGUGCAUUGGAAACUGUUAGACUUGAGUGCAGUAGAGGAGAGUGGAAUUCCAUGUGUAGCGGUGAAAUGCGUAGAUAUAUGGAGGAACACCGGUGGCGAAAGCGGCUCUCUGGACUGUCACUGACACUGAGGCUCGAAAGCGUGGGUAGCAAACAGGAUUAGAUACCCUGGUAGUCCACGCCGUAAACGAUGAGUGCUAGUUGUUUGGGGCCAUCCAGCCUAAGUGACGCAGCAAACGC
rnacentral:rRNA from 1 species